AUGAAAGUGUUAUCCGCUCAGAGGGAAAUUUGUGUCAUAUCGGAUCGGAAUCAAGGUAUUCUUAACGCGGUGGAGAUUGACAUUCCCGGGCAUGCUCCGUUGCAUCAUCGAUGGUGCAUGAGGCACUUUUGUUCGAACUUCUAUAGGGCAUGUGGCCUUAAGGAGUUGGCCGAUGAUCUUCAAGAUUGUUGUCUCGCUUUCUCCGACAAGCGCUUCACCACUUUGUACAACAAAUUGCUUGCACACAAAAAACUUGAUCCCAGGGGUCAAGACCUUCUCAAUAGGCACAUUCAAUACCGGAACAAGUGGGCAUGUGCUUUUGAUGAAGAUGGCCGGAGAUACUGUCAAAUGACAAGCAAUAUGGUCGAAUGCUUCAAUAGGGUGCUCAAAAGUGCACGUGGAUUACCCGUGACGACAAUAAUUCAGUACACAUUUGACAAGAUGAAUGCAUACUUUGUAAAGUACUCGAUGGAAACGGAUGCAUAG
rnacentral:rRNA from 1 species